GGCAGAGGUUGCAGUGAACCAAAAUUGCACCAUUGCACUCCAGCCUGGGCGACAGAACAAGGCUCCAUCUCAAAAGAAGAAAAAAGAAAUCCUUUUAUUAUGGUUUUAUUGGGGUUUGGAGAAGGAGUAAAACCAGAUGCAUAGGUUCAGUUGACCAUCACACACAGAAGUGUUUGUAGUUAUAGUUUUUUUUUUAAGAUUUUUAUGUCAAUGGUCACUGGCUUAAUAUGAUUAACGUUUUUUUCCAUUCUCAUUUUACAGUUCCUGAUGAGUAUCUGUUAUCGCUGAAGUUUCUCUUUGGCUCAUCAGCCACCCAGGCCUUGGACCUAGUUGAUCGACAGUCCAUCACCUUAAUCUCAUCACCCAGUGGAAGGCAUGUUUACCAGGAAACGGAAAUGCUUGAAAAGUAAAGUAACAGUCACAUCUGGCUACCCCACACUGCCUGUCUUAUGAGACAUGAAUAAAGACUAUAUACACAGGGAGCCAGACUCCAAACACCUGACCCUUCUCCCUGAACCACCCAACCCCAGUUUAGCUAUAUGAGACACAGUGGUAAGUGCAGCUGCGAUUGAAGGAAGGAAAUCAUGAAUGAAAUGAAAAUAUUGGCAGUGGUGUCCAAAAUUUUGUGUCUGUCUUGGAAGCCAUGUGUCUUGUGUCUGUCUAAAAGCCGUCAGCUCUUGUAUGUAAUCCAGGCCUUACUGAGACCAGAAAAGGGUAAAUUUUUCAGAGUUUGAAUUCUGGUUUAUUUAGUUAUCUUCUCAGAGCUGAGACCAUAUUGGUUAACUCUCAUUGAAAGAUCGUGUGAGUGGUCUUAGGGAGUGAAUGGCUCGAGCAAAGCCUGCUUGGGCAGAUAGAUGCCUUUGCUAAGUGAAUUAACUUGCCCUUCCUCACACUGAUCUGGUAAAAUCUUCAUGCAUUUCUGCAUUAAGGAAAAUAUGGUAAUUAGUGUUGGUUGCUGUGUUUAAAACUUUUGGAUGGACAGGCGCGGUGGCUCACACCUGUAAUCCCAGCACUUUGGGAGGGCGAGGCAGGUAGAUCACCUGAGGUCAGGAGUUUAAGACCAGC